rnacentral:rRNA from 1 species
CAGUCGCCACGGUAAUACGGAGGGUGCAAGCGUUAUCCGGAUUUAUUGGGUUUAAAGGGUCCGUAGGCGGACUUAUAAGUCAGUGGUGAAAGCCUGUCGCUUAACGAUAGAACUGCCAUUGAUACUGUAAGUCUUGAGUAUAUUUGAGGUAUCUGGAAUAAGUAGUGUAGCGGUGAAAUUCAUAGAUAUUACUUAGAACACCAAUUGCGAAGGCAGGUUACCAAGAUAUAACUGACGCUGAGGGACGAAAGCGUGGGUAGCGAACAGGAUUAGAUACCCCUGUAGUCCCUGUCUCUUAUAC